CACAGCUGUCACGUAAAUAUGGAAAUCCCUCUGCUGAUCACCGCACCAUGGGUGUAAUGAGGAAGAAAUAGGCUGCCAUGCCAGCUCCAAAACCAGUUAAAACAGCCAGGAAAAUGAGUGGCCAAACAGAGACAUGAACAGGGGGCUUGAAGUAGACUCUCCAAAGAUACCCUCACAAAGAAAAUCUCCAGGACACAAAAGUCUAUUUUUCUCUCAGUGAACAUCGAAUCAAGGAAACAGAUUUUUCUUUACUGUUCCAGCCUGAUUGCUGAGGAAUGCA